rnacentral:rRNA from 1 species
GACGAACGCUGGCGGCGUGCUUAACACAUGCAAGUCGAACGGAAAGGCCCUGCUUUUGUGGGGUGCUCGAGUGGCGAACGGGUGAGUAACACGUGAGUAACCUGCCCUUGACUUUGGGAUAACUUCAGGAAACUGGGGCUAAUACCGGAUAGGAGCUCCUGCUGCAUGGUGGGGGUUGGAAAGUUUCGGCGGUUGGUGAUGGACUCGCGGCUUAUCAGCUUGUUGGUGGGGUAGUGGCUUACCAAGGCUUUGACGGGUAGCCGGCCUGAGAGGGUGACCGGCCACAUUGGGACUGAGAUACGGCCCAGACUCCUACGGGAGGCAGCAGUGGGGAAUAUUGCACAAUGGGCGGAAGCCUGAUGCAGCAACGCCGCGUGCGGGAUGACGGCCUUCGGGUUGUAAACCGCUUUCGCCUGUGACGAAGCGUGAGUGGCGGUAAUGGGUAAAGAAGCACCGGCUAACUACGUG